AGGCCAGACUCCUACGGGAGGCAGCAGUGGGGGAUAUUGCACAAUGGAGGAAACUCUGAUGCGGCGACGCCGCGUGAGGGAAGACGGUCUUCGGAUUGUAAACCUCUGUCUUUGGGGAAGAAAAUGACGGUACCCAAAGAGGAAGCUCCGGCUAACUACGUGCCAGCAGCCGCGGUAAUACGUAGGGGGCAAGCGUUAUCCGGAUUUACUGGGUGUAAAGGGAGCGUAGACGGUUAUGUAAGUCUGGAGUGAAAGCCCGGGGCCCAACCCCGGGACUGCUUUGGAAACUGUGUAACUGGAGUACAGGAGGGGCAGGCGGAAUUCCUGGUGUAGCGGUGAAAUGCGUAGAUAUCAGGAGGAACACCGGCGGCGAAGGCGGCCUGCUGGACUGAAACUGACACUGAGGUACGAAAGCGUGGGGAGCAAACAGGAUUAGAUACCCUGGUAU
rnacentral:rRNA from 1 species